rnacentral:rRNA from 1 species
GCGAACGCUGGCGGCAGGCCUAACACAUGCAAGUCGAACGAACUCUUCGGAGUUAGUGGCGGACGGGUGAGUAACACGUGGGAACGUGCCUUUUGGUUCGGAAUAACUCAGGGAAACUUGUGCUAAUACCGAAUGUGCCCUUCGGGGGAAAGAUUUAUCGCCAUUAGAGCGGCCCGCGUCUGAUUAGCUAGUUGGUGAGGUAACGGCUCACCAAGGCGACGAUCAGUAGCUGGUCUGAGAGGAUGACCAGCCACACUGGGACUGAGACACGGCCCAGACUCCUACGGGAAGCAGCAGUGGGGAAUCUUGCGCAAUGGGCGAAAGCCUGACGCAGCCAUGCCGCGUGAAUGAUGAAGGUCUUAGGAUUGUAAAAUUCUUUCACCAGGGACGAUAAUGACGGUACCCGGAGAAGAAGCCCCGGCUAACUUCGUG